rnacentral:rRNA from 1 species
AUUGAACGCUGGCGGAAUGCUUUACACAUGCAGGUCGAACGGCAGCACGGGGGCAGCCCUGGUGGCGAGUGGCGAACGGGUGAGUAAUACAUCGGAACGUGCCCGGUCGUGGGGGAUAACGUAGCGAAAGUUACGCUAAUACCGCAUACGAUCUGAGGAUGAAAGCGGGGGACCUUCGGGCCUCGCGCGAUCGGAGCGGCCGAUGUCAGAUUAGGUAGUUGGUGGGGUAAAGGCCUACCAAGCCGACGAUCUGUAGCUGGUCUGAGAGGACGACCAGCCACACUGGGACUGAGACACGGCCCAGACUCCUACGGGAGGCAGCAGUGGGGAAUUUUGGACAAUGGGCGCAAGCCUGAUCCAGCCAUUCCGCGUGCAGGACGAAGGCCUUCGGGUUGUAAACUGCUUUUGUACGGAACGAAAAGGCUCUGGCUAAUACCUGGGGCUCAUGACGGUACCGUAAGAAUAAGCACCGGCUAACUACGUG